rnacentral:rRNA from 1 species
GAGGCGAACCGGGGGAACUGAAACAUCUAAGUACCCCGAGGAAAAGAAAUCAACCGAGAUUCCGAAAGUAGCGGCGAGCGAAAUUGGACUAGCCCUUAAGCUUUACACGCGUUAGACAAACGGUCUGGAAAGUCCGACGAUACAGGGUGAUAGUCCCGUAGUUGACGACGUGUGUUCAGUGAAAUCGAGUAGGGCGGGACACGUGAUAUCCUGUCUGAAUAUGGGGGGACCAUCCUCCAAGGCUAAAUACUACUGACUGACCGAUAGUGAACCAGUACCGUGAGGGAAAGGCGAAAAGAACCCCUGUGAGGGGAGUGAAAUAGAACCUGAAACCGUGUACGUACAAGCAGUAGGAGCAGGCUUUGUCCUGUGACUGCGUACCUUUUGUAUAAUGGGUCAGCGACUUAUAUUCAGUGGCAAGGUUAACCAUCUAGGGGAGCCGUAGGGAAACCGAGUCUUAACUGGGCGUUCAGUCUCUGGAUAUAGACCCGAAACCAGGUGAUCUAGCCAUGGGCAGGUUGAAGGUUGAGUAACAUCAACUGGAGGACCGAACCGACUAAUGUUGAAAAAUUAGCGGAUGACUUGUGGCUAGGGGUGAAAGGCCAAUCAAACCUGGAGAUAGCUGGUUCUCCCCGAAAGCUAUUUAGGUAGCGCCUCGGACGAAUACUACUGGGGGUAGAGCACUGUUAAGGCUAGGGGGUCAUCCCGACUUACCAACCCUUUGCAAACUCCGAAUACCAGUAAGUACUAUCCGGGAGACACACGGCGGGUGCUAACGUCCGUCG